CCUUAUCAUAUUAAACAAUUAAAAUUACAGACUAUAUUUACUAUAUUUAGUUCUUAAUAAAAAUAAAUAAAAAAAACCUUCCCAUUCUCUUUCAACGCCUCUUCUACGCGAUUCAUGGGUGUCAAUUAAUGUUUUACCCUCUUUUCAGGUAAUCAGUUGGGUUUUCAUCAUAGAGUGAAACACGAUCUUGGUUGUUUCUUGACACAAUCCCUCUUUCAUCUGAUUCAUGCAUCUUCUGGAAGGGAUUCCUUGGGCAACGAACAGCCGCAUACGAGGGGUUUCUUGGGCGAAACACAGCUAACCUAAUAACUAAUUUCUUUGGAGACGGAAGGAAUUAUCUUCUUAACACAAGGCAAGGGCUCGAAAUUGCCGGAUCGAAAGUGCGGUGUUCCAUUUGACCAGUUUCAGGAAAGUACAGCUAUAAAUUGCUUUCAAUUAGAAGAACCAUUAAGAAGAAACAUCCAGUUAAAAGAAGUUGUAAAUAACAUGUUCUAAGUUAAUCUACACAACACACAAAUGUGGUGGACACGCCGUUGGACACCGCAGUUCAAGGAAAAAAAAAUCACAUCGCUCAUGCAGUCAUGCUACUAAACAAACAGAAGAUGAGUUGACGAGGUUAGUGAUAUCUGAUUUACAACCUUUUUUCCAGUCACUUGGGGGCUAUUGAGUUAAAAACAAUUCGUAUUGGUCUAAAUGGGUUCCAUGGUUUAAUUCAGCACCACAUUUGUGUGUUAUCUAGAUUAACUUAGAACAUGUUAUUUACAACUUCUUUUAAGUGGAUGUUUCUUCUUAAUGUGGUCCUUUUAAUUGAAAGCAAUUUAUAGCUGUACUUUUGGUUUUUAUAGUGAAAAAUUCGGUGCUAGACACAUCAAAACUUACGGAUGUUCUAAACAAUUCUCUAUAUACUAUAAUUUCAAUCCUUUUGCUUAGGAUUUAACUGUAGGAUAUGCUAAAUAAAAGCAUUGGAUGCCCCCAGGAGAGGUCAUAUCCUUGAACAAUUAUUUAAAUUAUGUAUGUGGAGGAUGUGGAUGUAGUAACAUUUGACUGGAAUUUGCUACGUAUCAUUGAAGGGUUAGUUAAAAAACAGGGCAAGUUGGUGGGUGCCGUGAACAGUUAUGUCAUUUCUAUUUCCAUUUCAGGACAGGAAACAAUUACCCACAGAGGAAAAUGGACAUAAAAGUGGUUGUCGAGGAUGAUCGAGGGGGAACAAACAUCAUGGCACCAACGGAGCAGUUACUGUGCCAAACCUUAUCUUAUAAUUAAAUUCUCUAUUCUUUCUCUGUUGUAAUGUCUUCCUGCUUUAUUGCAGUUCAUGGAACUACACAUUCAAGCUACACAAACUACUUUGAGAGGCUAACCAAAGCACAGAACUUCUUUUUCUGAUUUCGUAUUGCUAUGGGAAAAUUGUGGCAGAAAGCAUGGGAGCCUGGGAGGUGGCCAAGGAGAAAGAGGUUGACAUGGUUGUUCAUUGAUAGUUAUAAUUCCUACAUUGUUUACUUUCUCCGUUUCCAUUCCCUUAUGCUUGCUCCCUCCUUUUCCACUUGGUGUUUUUGUACACAUAAUUCAUAACCAUCUUUCCCUAAUUCUCUUGAUUUGGAAAAAAUUCCUGUUAUUCAUGGAUUUGAAUUCAUAUAUACACCAGCGGCAGAGGCAAUGUUUCUUGCCUGGUCAUUUUUGUUA